rnacentral:lncRNA from 1 species
CUCGUUGGCUCGGCUAUGGCUACCGAACCUUAUUACUAUAGUUCUCCUCCACCACCGUACGAGUAUAAAUCUCCACCUCCUCCGGUUAAAUCUCCUCCACCUCCUUAUGAAUAUAAAUCACCACCACCUCCGGUUAAGUCUCCUCCACCACCGUAUUACUAUCAUUCACCGCCGCCGCCAGUGAAAUCCCCUCCCCCUCCUUAUGUUUACAGCUCUCCUCCUCCUCCGGUGAAGUCUCCUCCACCACCGUAUUACUACCAUUCUCCACCUCCUCCGGUGAAGUCUCCUCCACCACCAUAUUAUUACCACUCACCACCCCCUCCGGUGAAAUCUCCACCACCACCAUACUAUUACCACUCACCACCCCCUCCGGUGAAAUCCCCUCCACCACCAUACUACUACCACUCACCUCCCCCUCCGGUGAAGUCCCCUCCUCCCCCAUACUACUACCAUUCACCACCCCCUCCAGUCAAGUCUCCACCACCACCAUACCAUUACAGCUCACCACCACCUCCGGUGAAAUCUCCACCACCACCAUACCUUUACAGCUCACCACCACCACCGGUAAAAUCUCCUCCACCUCCCGUUUACAUCUACGCUUCUCCCCCACCUCCCACACAUUACUAGGCUCGUCAAAUUCAACAAAAUUUCCCAAUUAUUCAAGUAAGUCCAACAAUCCUAUACUUUUUACUUACUCCAUUAUCCGUUCUAAUAAUUGUCCCCUAAAUAAAAUCUCAAUAUCUUCUCCGCACAGGUUUUCUUUUACAUAAUGAAAUAAAGGAAGGGUCAAAGUCAAAGAGAAGAAGAAGUGAACCAAAUAAGGAUCGUGGCGUGGAAAUCAGAAACAAAACAU